GUGAGGAAUAUUGCACAAUGGGCGCAAGCCUGAUGCAGCGACGCCGCGUGGGUGAUGAAGGCUUUCGGGUCGUAAAACCCUUUUCUGUGUGACGAGUAAGGACGGUAGCACAGGAAUAAGCCUCGGCUAACUACGUGCCAGCAGCCGCGGUAAAACGUAGGAGGCGAGCGUUAUCCGGAGUUACUGGGCGUAAAGCGCGUGUAGGUGGCUUGUUACGUCUGCUGUGAAAGCGCCCGGCUUAACCGGGACGAUGCGGUAGAUACGGGCAAGCUUGAGGGUGACAGAGGAGCGUAGAAUUCCGGGUGUAGUGGUGAAAUGCGUAGAGAUCCGGAGGAAUACCAGUGGCGCAAGCGGCGCUCUGGGUCGAGCCUGACACUGAGACGCGAAGGCAUGGGGAGCGAACGGGAUUAGAAACCCGAGUAGUCC
rnacentral:rRNA from 1 species